rnacentral:rRNA from 1 species
AGUGAACGCUGGCGGUAGGCCUAACACAUGCAAGUCGAACGGCAGCACAGGAGAGCUUGCUCUCUGGGUGGCGAGUGGCGGACGGGUGAGGAAUACAUCGGGAUCUACUCUGUCGUGGGGGAUAACGUAGGGAAACUUACGCUAAUACCGCAUACGACCUACGGGUGAAAGCAGGGGACCUUCGGGCCUUGCGCGAUUGAAUGAGCCGAUGUCGGAUUAGCUAGUUGGCGGGGUAAAGGCCCACCAAGGCGACGAUCCGUAGCUGGUCUGAGAGGGGGAUCAGGCACACUGGAACUGAGACACGGUCCAGACUCCUACGGGAGGAGUCAGUGGGGAAUAUUGGACAAUGGGUGCAUGCCUGAUCCAGCCAUACCGCGUGGGUGAAGAAGGCAUUCGGGUUGUAAAGCCCUUUUGUUGGGAAAGAAAUCCAGCUGGCUAAUACCCGGUUGGGAUGACGGUACCCAAAGAAUAAGCACCGGCUAACUCCGUGCCAGCCGCCGCAGUAA